CAGAGGUGAGCCUUGGGGUGCAAGAUUCAGAGGCAAAUCAUGGGCCCGUGAACAUACCCCGUCCAACUAGUUUACGAAUGCUCCUAAGCAGUCCUUCUCACACUGUCCACCAUUAUUGGCGAAAAUUUGAUAAUGCCUUCAUGCGGCCUGUGUUUGGUGGGCGGGGUUUUGUACCUUAUGUUCCGGGCUCACCUGUCGAACAAAAUGAUCAUCAAUGGCAUUGAGAAGUAACUGAUACACAUAUAAGCUCUAAUUUAUGUAAUUUAUAGGUUUGGAUUGAGAUCGGCUUCAGUGUGCAUUUG
rnacentral:lncRNA from 1 species